UAGCCCAUGGAAACAUGGGGUAAUACCGCAUACGACCGAUCUGCUGUGGCGGGUUGGGGAAAGUGCGCUUAGGCGUCACCGAGCGAUGAGCCUGCGGCUGAUUAGCUAGUUGGUAGGGUAACGGCCUACCAAGGCAACGAUCAGUAGCCGGCCUGAGAGGGUGAUCGGCCACACUGGGACUGAGAUACGGCCCAGACAACUACGGUUGGCAGCAGCUAAGAAUCUUCCGCAAUGGACGAAAGUCUGACGGAGCGACGCCGCGUGGGCGAUGAAGGCCGUGAGGUUGUAAAGCCCUUUUCUAUCGGAGGAAUAAGCCUGGGAGGGAAUGCCCGGGUGAUGACGGUACGGUAGGAAUAAGCCCCGGCCAAUUACGUGCCAGCAGCCGCGGUAACACGUAAGGGGCGAGCGUUGUUCGGAAUUAUUGGGCGUAAAGGGCACGUAGGCGGCACGGUAAGCCUGGUGUGAAAGACCGCAGCUUAACUGCGGAGACGCGCUGGGAACUGCCGAGCUUGAGUGCUGGAGGGGGAGCUGGAAUUCCAGGUGUAGGGGUGAAAUCUGUAGAUAUCUGGAAGAACACCGGUGGUGAAGACGAGCUCCUGGCCAGAUACUGACGCUGAGGUGCGAAAGCGUGGGGAGCGAACAGGAUUAGAUACCCUGGUAGUCCACGCCGUAAACGAUGUGCACUAGGUGUUGGGUUCAUUAGCGACUCAGUGCCGUAGCUAACGCGUUAAGUGCACCGNCUGGGGAGUAUGCU
rnacentral:rRNA from 1 species